rnacentral:lncRNA from 1 species
AAUUGUGAUUUUUCGUUUAUAACCGUCGAAAACUUUUGUUCUGUUACGUAAUCUCUGAAUGUUUGUUUGUUAUGAUUUUUUACAUAUGCGAUCUCGGAAUGUGUACAAAUAAGUUUGACGGUUGGAUCGUUGAAAAAAGUUUUGUAGAAUGCAUAUUUCGUCAAAACAGUAGAUUAAACAAACACUUAGAGUUAAUAUUAUACUUCUAUUAAGUAUAAAAUAAGUUUUUAUGGUAUCCACUAGUGUAAAUACUUUAAAUUAAAGAUCAAAUUUAUUCAUUACAUUCUUAUAGGUCGAGGAGUCUAUCUGUAAAAAAAUCAUCAAAA